rnacentral:rRNA from 1 species
AGGAGCGACCAUAUCAGCAUUAAUGCACCGGAUCCCAUCAGAACUCAGCAGUUAAGCGCUUGAGUGAGAAUAGUUCUAAGAUGGGCUUGUCUUAUGACUUUCAUA